rnacentral:rRNA from 1 species
GAUGAACGCUGGCGGCGUGCCUAACACAUGCAAGUCGUACGGUAGCUUUGGAUUCGUCUAAGGUGAGAGUGGCAAACGGGUGAGUAACACGUAGGUGACCUACCCCAAAGAGGGGAACAACUGCUGGAAACGGUAGCUAAUACCCCAUGUGCCUGGUGGUUCGAUUCACCAGGUAAAGUCGAAAGGCGCUUUGGGCUGGACCUGCGGCCCAUCAGGUAGUUGGUAGGGUAACGGCCUACCAAGCCUAUGACGGGUAGGGGGUGUGAGAGCGCGGCCCCCCACACUGGCACUGCGACACGGGCCAGACUCCUACGGGAGGCAG